rnacentral:rRNA from 1 species
GAUGAACGCUGGCGGCGUGCUUAACACAUGCAAGUCGAACGGUGAAGCAGGAGCUUGCUCUUGUGGAUCUGUGGCGAACGGGUGAGUAACACGUGAGCAACCUGCCCCUGACUCUGGGAUAAGCGCUGGAAACGGCGUCUAAUACUGGAUAUGUGAUGUGACCGCAUGGUCUGCAUCUGGAAAGAAUUUCGGUUGGGGAUGGGCUCGCGGCCUAUCAGCUUGUUGGUGAGGUAAUGGCUCACCAAGGCGUCGACGGGUAGCUGGCCUGAGAGGGUGACCGGCCACACUGGGACUGAGACACGGCCCAGACUCCUACGGGAGGCAGCAGUGGGGAAUAUUGCACAAUGGGCGGAAGCCUGAUGCAGCAACGCCGCGUGAGGGAUGACGGCCUUCGGGUUGUAAACCUCUUUUAGCAGGGAAGAAGCGAAAGUGACGGUACCUGCAGAAGAAGCACCGGCUAACUACGUGCCAGCAGCCGCCGCAG